AUGGAGGAGCGCGGAGGUGGCCGUGAAUCUAGGAGGAGGUGGCGGGGACAGGGCACCGUACAACUGCCCGGCGAUGAUACGCGAUCCGAAGAGGAUGAGGUGCUAUUUGAGGAUCUCUUUGGUCAUGCGUUUGAUGGAGUGAAGGUGCUACUUGAGGAUUCUUUUGUUUCCGCAUCUGAUAGCAAGAGCCCCAAGAAUAAUCUGAAGUGUAGAUCAUUUAGUGUUUCUACUCUUUGCUCACCUUCAAGGUUUCUACCUGAGAAGUUUGGAGGCAACUCACAUGGAUUUCAUUACAUUGGUAACCUUGCUGAUGCUACAAUUAUGAAUGUUGAACUUUGUUGUGAGAAGCAAUUCAAUAAGUUGGACCUAGGGCCUCCCAAUUUUGACAGCAUCUGUGGAAUUAUACUGGCACAAAAGGUGAAGUGCUGGCAGAUCAGGUGUCUAACUAAAGCCCCGCAAGCUGCUGGUGCAAUUCACACUGAUUUUGAAAGAGGCUUCAUGUGUACUAAGGAUAUGGUGUUGGAUCUUUCGGAUAUUAGCAAGGGGAGCAUCAAAUGCAUUCACUUUACCGUUCUGAAGUUACAAGUUCAUGAUCCUUUGAUAUCCAUUCUAAUGUAUCAGAGAAAACUGCUGAACAAGAUGUUCUCUUCACGCCAUGUCUUAUCUCAGUUGCAAUAUUAUAGAUUUUUUUCAUCAAGGAAGCAGAGGAAGGCAAUGAAUCAAAUUGAAGAUUUGAAGGCAAGGAACAUAGCCAUUCUGUGUUUGGAUGAUGGUUUUGAAGAAGUCUUAUUAAGCUUCAAAAGUGUAAUAGCGCAAAUGCGCCAGAAUUCUUAUGAUUAUGGCAAGCGAGUUGAUCUCUCCAAGCGUUAUGGACCUGGCUACAAGGUGUACACAGCAGGAGGAGCUGGGGCAUUCCAUGUGAUAAUUCAGCAUUGCAAAGCGUCAUUGCGCAUGUCUUUUUCAGCAAGAGACCUGUAUUCCAGAGCUUGGAGAAAUGAGUUGGGAACAUUUGUCAUGGCACCAGAUGUCACAGGGUGGUUAUACAUAAUAAAUGAAGACCAUCAAACUCUUUCGUUCACAAGCAGUUAUACCUAUGGCGGUCUUGGUGGAGACGACGUCAAGGACACGUGGAUUGGCGUUGAUGCACUCCGUCACGCAUUUCAUGUGAUACGCAAGUCAGAUGGAAGGCGCACAGACCUUCUUAGACAAGCUAUCAAGAUUGUCAGCAUUCACUUGUCAGAAUCAGCCCGCCUCCAGUCAGUUUUUGAAGCAGUUUGCAAGUCCAUGACUGAUGAUACGCGAACCACUUUGGAUGUUGAACCUGAGGCUGCAGCCGGUGCUGCUGAAGCCACCGGCUGCAGCCGGUGCGGCUGCAGCCGGUGCUGCUGCAGCCGGUGUUGCUGCAGCUGGUGCGGCUCGGCCAAUAAGAACUCAUACCCCCUCGUUUUGGGUAGAGAAUUAUGGUUACUACUCCAAACAGGCGAUGAAAGCGGUUGA
rnacentral:rRNA from 1 species